CUUACUGCUUACGCCUAUUUAACAGUUGCUAUGUUUUUUUAUGGGCACCCCAAGUAGAAAAUAAUAUAUUAAAGGCACAAUUCUUGUCCUAUAAAAGCUUACUUUUCAUGGUGUUUGAUGCCCUUAGGAAUUGUCUGUACAAGAUGAAAAAGUUGACAUCAUUUUUAUGUGAAUCCAGCUGUCUCUUUAGAAGAUAAGAAAAAUGAAGUUAAAGAGAAUGAAGUGACUUGCUAAAGUUAUACAAGUAGUUAAGAGCAGAAGAACAGCAACUACUUUCCCAACUCUUGGUCCAUUAAGAAGCUCAGUAUCACUAAAGUUUUAUUUCUAAAGACUCAUAUGGCGUGUUGUUGCUGCCAAUGCAUCUUUUUUAAUAACAGAUAAUCUGAAGAAAGUAAACUUAAAAUACUCAUAUUUUUUGCUUUGUUAUUUUUCCCUUUGAAAUAAUAAAUUCAUCAACCUCUUUCA